rnacentral:lncRNA from 1 species
GGCGGCGGCACCGGCACCUUGCAGUAUCACUGGGGAGACGGCGGCUGUAUAGCGCUUGCCGCCCCACGGAUUAUCCCAGCAGGAUCUACGCACCCCGCAUCCUCCGUAGUUCCGCCCUAUCCUUGUCCUCCUUGGCUGGGGCGCCCACCGGCGGUCUGAUAGGCUACAUCGCGGCAUGAGAUGAAGCUGUGACAGGUUUGAAAACACAAACACAAUGGCAGGAAACAGCCUUGUUCUACCCAUUGUUCUUUGGGGUCGAAAAGCGCCCACACAUUGCAUCUCAGCCGUACUUUUAACAGAUGAUGGGGCCACGAUCGUAACAGGAUGUCACGACGGACAAAUAUGUCUCUGGGAUCUUUCAGUAGAACUGCAAGUGAAUUAAUCCUCGAGCACUGUUGUUUGGUCAUACAGCAUCAAUCACUUGUUUGUCUAAAGCUUGUGCUUCCAGUGACAAACAGUAUAUUGUGAGUGCAUCUGAAAGUGGAGAGAUGUGCCUCUGGGAUGUGAGUGAUGGCAGAUGUAUUGAAUUUACAAAAUUAGCUUGCACACAUACUGGCAUACAGUUCUACCAGUUCUCUGUUGGGAAUCAGCGAGAAGGAAGGCUUUUAUGCCACGGACAUUACCCUGAAAUCCUUGUUGUGGAUGCUACCAGCCUUGAAGUAUUAUACUCCUUAGUAUCAAAGAUAUCACCAGACUGGAUUAGCUCCAUGAGUAUUAUUCGAUCC